rnacentral:rRNA from 1 species
AACGCGAAGAACCUUACCCAGGUUUGACAUGCAUUCGAAAACCGUGGAAACACGGUCCCCGAAAGGUGGAUGCACAGGUGGUGCAUGGCUGUCGUCAGCUCGUGUCGUGAGAUGUUGGGUUAAGUCCCGCAACGAGCGCAACCCUCGUCCUGUGUUGCCAUCCCGCAAGGGGGCACUCGCAGGAGACCGCCAGCGAUAAGCUGGAGGAAGGUGGGGAUGACGUCAAGUCCUCAUGGCCUUUAUGUCCAGGGCUACACACGUGCUACAAUGGCCGGUACAAAGCGUUCCCAAGCCGCGAGGUGGAGGCAAUCGCAAAAAACCGGUCUCAGUUCGGAUUGCAGGCUGCAACUCGCCUGCAUGAAGCUGGAAUCGCUAGUAAUGGCAGAUCAGCACGCUGCCGUGAAUACGUUCCCGGGCCUUGUACACACCGCUAGUC